CGCCGCCACCAGCAGGCUGAGCCGAGUCCUCGCGCCGCAGGCGCUGCCGGCGCCCGGCUUGGCCGCGCCGCCCUCGUCGCCGCCGCGCCACCCCUCGUCCUGCAGCGGCGGCCGUCCGUCCAGAGAGAUGUUGCAUGAUGAUGAUCAAUCAACAGACACAAGAGUGAGUGCUUGGAGCAGUGUGAAUGCUGAAGAUGCCGUGCUGUUCAUUGUCUCCUGACCAACCAGAACUCUACGAGAAGUGCCAAACACACAUACAAAUGAAGAAUAGUACAAGGAACCCCCAUGGAUCUGUCAUCUGGUAGUUUCAACAGUCACCAACUCAGAGAUGAUCAUGAACCUUUUGGAUAAACUUCUUGAUACUUCUUGGCUUUUUUAAGCCAAAAAGGACUGAGGUGAAACCCUUGUUUAAUUCUCCGGAACUGCAGCCUUCCUUAGCACAUUCCUCCUGAUUUGCUAGACGGGAACCCUUGUUGUAGCCACCUUCUUGGCUGCCACUGUCUUCUGAGAACAGACAAAUGCUCAGAUAGGUCAAGGAUGUGCAGAUGCGCGGAUUCGGCAGAGGGAGAUGCGUGGCCGCUGUCUGGAGGAUGCACGUCUCGUCACUACUCUGUGCUGCGUCUGUGAUCGUCUGCUGAUCUGCAGUGGGCAGCCGGGAGCCACAUCUCCCGUUUGGCGGAGUGCAAUGCAGCUUAACACCAUCUGCGUAUCACUCCUGCUUCUGCUUCUGGUGUUUCCUGGAAAGCUCUCCAGCAGCCCUCCUGUUCUGUUCCCUGCCUGUCCUGUUGAUUUGGAAAAGGGUGUCCCUCUGUGAAGAUUAGGAGCUGUAGCAGCGUUCCUGUACCAUCGUUAUUGAUGUGGACCACACCAGAGUGAUUCUAGCAACCUGCCUAAAACCUCACAGUUCUGCAGCGAGGCAGUCUGGAGUGCAGGUCUCUGCCAGAAGAGAACCUACAGUUUGCUCGGCCUGGCUUCUCAUUCUCUCUGCUUUCGUCAAGGUCUUAGUCAUCCUGUCCAGCAUGACCAGUUUUAAAUUAUUCAUUUAUUUAAUUUACUUGAAAGGCAGAGAGAGUGACAGAGAGCUCCUAUCCACUGAUUCACUCCCCAAAUGCUGGCAACAUCUGGGGCUGGGCCAGGUGGAAGUGGGUACCCAGCAACUCAGUCCAGGCCUCUCAUGUGGGUGGCAGGGACACAACUACUAGGAUCAUCACCUGCUGCUUCCCGAGUCUCUGUUAGCUGGAAAGUGGAGCUCGGAACAGCUGAGACUCAAACACAGGCACUGUGAUGGUGGAUGCCGGCAUUCCAAAUGGCAUCUUUACUGGCACACCCCCAGCAAGACCACUUAAACGGCUACCAGGGAGCCAACAGAUCACGGUUGUGAGUUGUGGUCUAUAAACACAUGGAGACAAGUGGUUGUGGGAGCUGAAAAGUGUAUGUGGAAGCUCUUUGUAAGCUACCAAAUCCUAUUCAAUAAAGACAUGAUGUUGAUACAAACAGCACAUGGCACCUCUGGGUGAGCAAGUCAUUGGGUUGAAUUCUGUCUGCAUCAUCUCAUUUAAUCCUCAGAACAAUUUCUAAUGUUUUGUUAUUAUUUUCUUAUAUAUGAGAGUACAAAUAUAGCAACAGCAUAAAGGUGUUUGACAAGGCAGCUUUUAAUGCCACGGAGAGUACUCUAGGCAAAGCCCUCUCCAAACCGUUGAUGUUUACUAGAAAAAUGCGAGAGGAACAAGAAAGGCUGAUGGGCACCACAGACAAGCCCAGACAGGCAGCUCAUCAGAGCUUUCUCUGGGGGUGCGUUCAUGCCUCAUCGCUCACAUCCCAGGGAUUUCCGGGCGGGACGGUUUGUUUUAGGUGGCAGCUUGACUGGCUAUGGAAUGCCUGGAGAGCAGCUGGAGCGCUUCUGCUGGCUGUGAGGAUGUUCCCGGAUGAGCCUGCAUGCACGCUCCACACUCAUUUUGGAGGGAUGGCGUCCAAGCAGAACAAGAAGGUGAAGGAAAGGCAAAUUCUGUCUCUCUCCCAGAGCUGGGACAGCCUUCUUCUCCUGCCUUUGGACAUCUGAACUCCAGGCUCUCCAGACUUAGGCCAGUGACCCCCACCCUUGACCUUGCACUGAGUUACACCAGUGACGUCCCAGGUUCUGAGGCUUUGGGGCUUGGGUGGAGCCACAGGACCAGCAUUCCAGCAUCUGCAGCUUGCACACAGCCCACCCUCCUCUGUGAUCACACGAGCAUAUUCUGCUGGGAGACCCUCCCUCUGCUUUCUCUCUGUAGAUCCAGCGAACCCUGGCUAACAUACUAAGCAUCUCAAAAUAUUAUUCUUGGGGGCCGGUGCUGUGGUGUAGCAGGUAAAGCCACUGCCUGGAGUGCCAGCAUUCCUUAUGGGCACCUGUUCGAGUCCCGGCUGCUCCUUUUCCAAUCCAGCUCUCUGCUAUGGCCUGGGAAAGCAGCAGAAAAUGACCCAAGUGCUUAGGUCCCUGCACCCAUGUGGGAGACCUGGAAGAAGCUUCUGGCUCCUUCCAGUCAUUGUGGCCAUCUGGGGUGGGGGGGGGGUGAACCAGCGGAUGGAAAACCUCUCUCUCUGCCUCUCCUUCUCUCUCUGUGUAACUCAGACUUUCAAACUAAUAAAUAAAUCUUUAAAAAUUAUUCUUAAGAAUUAUUGUGUAGCAGAGACCUGCAACUUACAUAGAACAAAUCAUCCACUGCCAAUCCUGUGGUCCGAGCUCCUGCAGCUUCUUCCUCACUCUGGUUCAUUCAUAAAACAAAGGAAAAGCCUUCAGAGGAAGGGAAUGUGAGACUGAAGACAGUGAAGAAAGAACCAGAGGUUGAGAAGACGAGAUGCCAGCUUCUUUCAGGAUGAUGUUACUUCCUUUUGCAAAAUAUUAGCUCGCCAAGGCAUAUGUAGCAAUGGGCUUCCUAAAUGUCUAACAAAGAGAAAAUGAUAAACUACAGUGUUGUUUUAAAGACAUAUAAUGGAAUAGUUGGAGAUGAUUAAAAUGAAAAUUUUGAGGGGCAGACCUUGGCACAGCUGUUCAGACUCCACUUGGGAUGGCUGCCUCCUAUGUUGGAGAGCCUAGGUUCAAGUCCUGGCUCUGCUCUCCCUUCUGGCUUCCUGCUAAUGCACACCCUGGGAGGCACAGGUGAGGGCUCAGGUAGCUGGGCCCUGCCAUCCAUGUGAAGGACCCAGAUGGAGUUCCUGGCUCUUGGCUGUGGUCUGCCCCAGCCUUGGCCUUUGCAGGCGUUCAGGGAAUGAGCCAGCAAAUGGAAGAUCAUUCUGCUCUCUCUCUCUCUCUCGCUCUCUCUCUCUCUCUCUCUCCCUCACCUAUUCAAAUAAAAAUAAAUAAAUAAGGGAAAAAUUUUAAUGUCUGAAAAUAAUAUAGUGAAAAUUAGGUUAUAAAACUGUAAGUAAGUAUGAUCAGAAAGCAGUUUUAUAUACACAUAUGUAAUAUAUACCUUAAAAUGUUAACAGAAAUUAUUGUUGGAUAUUGGGGUUGUGAGGUUUUUAAUUUAAUUAUUAUGCUUUUCAUUAUUUUUCAAGUAUUUACAAUGAGCAUUUGUUAUUUUUAUAAUAAAAGGUGGAUAUGAAAUAGUAAAGAGACUGUAGUUGUGGUUUUAAUGCAGAUAAGAGUUUCCAAAAACAGGGACUGGCACUGUGGUGUAGAGGCUAAGCCUCAGCCCGCAGCGCUGGAAUCCCAUAUGGGUGCCGGCUCGAGUCCCAGCUGCUCCACUUCUCAUCCACCUCUCUGCUAUGGCCUGGGAAAGCAGUGGAAGAUGGCCCAUAUGGCAUCCCAUACAGGCACUAGUUCAAGUCCCAGCUACUCCCCUUCCCAUCCAGCUUCCUUCUAAUGGCCUGGGAAAGCAGUAGAAGAUGUCCCAAGUGCCUGGGCCCCUGCACCCAUGUGGGAGACCCGGAAGAAGCUCCUGGUUCCUGGCUCCCAGCUUAGGAUCGGCCCAGCUCUGGCAAUUGUGCCAUUUGGGGAGUGAACCAGCGGAUAGAAUAUCUUACUCUGUAUCUCUCCCUCUGUCUGUAACUCUGCCUCUCAAAUAAAUAAAUCUUUAAAAAAAUAAACAAAUAGAAAACAAAGCAAAGUUUAGAUUAGCGUUUCCCAGCCAUUGGCCAGCCGUCAGGGAGAGGGGAGAGGCACAGUCACAGUACUCCGUGGACAGGGCUUUCGUGGGGAUCUAUGAGAGCACCUAGGCCUCAAGUGUGUGCAACAGAGCGCAGCUCGGGGUCAAGGGCAUGGGUGAGCUCCCUUCUAGCUUCCUGCUCGAAGUUUCCAGCUAGAAGAAACAGUGCCCUGUUUGCUGUUGGAACUGUCUUUGACUCUCCCGUGCUCCUACUUGCUAGUUUGGAACAUUAUUAAGCUCCUUGCGCUCUCUGGCUUGAUAUAGCGUGAAUGCUACUGGAGGAUUGGAGAGGGGAGAAGGGGGAAACUCCCCAUCCCCAAGAUCUAACCACUUGCCCCUUAUGGCCAUCCCCAAUAACUAGGGCCAGGUCUAUGUAACCAGAGGAGAAGGCACUGGCAGGAAGAGGACUCUGUGUUGUGCUAGCCAGCGUGUUCCAGAGGAGCGGAGAAAGCGUGGAUGGACUGGAUUCUGAGGGUGCCGGCUCAGUGAAAAUGGAACACAAGGUUGGCCAAAGGAGAGUUUCCCAGUGUGGGAGCCCUCUCCCAGUGUACAGGACACGGCGGCCUGACAAGGGCUCCAGGGGACAGUGCUACCUGCUGAGCGCAUGGCUCUCAGAGGCGGAAAAGCACCGAGAAGCUCAGCGUUACCAGACCCAUUGAGAAACUGAUGGCACUGUCCUCCCUAUCUCUCUGCCUGGAGUGGGGUUCCAGUUUGCAGCCCCCUAGGGUCUGGUGACAGAGUCCUGGGCUCCAUUUAUGCCCCCUCUUCUCCCUGUGCUUCCAGCCUUAGUAGCUUCCCGUGGUUGCUACCCUGGCCUCUGCACACUUUCAUCCCUCAUGCAAACAAUUCUCCUUGAUUAAGUUCUCUCCAAAAUAGCCACACUGGUUCCUGGGACCCUGACAAUACAAUAGGUGAUAAUUCAGGAUUGUGCUGGGAAAUGCACUCCAGCUUAAAGGCCCAGGGAGGUCAUUCCAAGGAUCUCUAUGACAGCCAUACAAUGCAGAGGCCGCAUACACCAGGGCCUGUGUGUGCAGAGAAUCAUAAAUAAGCCUGUGUCAAAGAAAAACAAAUUGAAUAUCUUGAUAAUCCGGGUUUGAAGGUGGGUUAUGCUAUCCAGAGAAGCGAUUUAUGGCCUCAGGAAUGUGCUUGUUGAUUCCUGAGACCUUCAAACAGAGCUUGCUCUCUCGAGAAGGCACCUCCUGGGAGCACCCACAUCUAAGAGAACCUCAACAGAGCCUGGACACAGGACGACAGCUCCGCCGCUGUGCUGAGCGUCUCAGGGCAACAGCACAUAUGUAAUUCUUUAAAAAUCAUCUUGGGGUAAUUACUAGCUGCUUUUGAAAUAAAAAAAAAUGCUCAACUCUGUAUUUAUUGUCAGGAUCAUAAUUUGUGAAAUAAAAGAAUUACCAGCUGUGAGAGUUUUGUCACCAAUGGAAAUCCACGUGCUAGUGGCUGGUGGAGAACAGUUCCUGGCUGUGCCCCAUACACAAAGAGGGAAAUCAAAAUGCAUGCAUACACAUGCAAAUCUCAAGUCAUCAAUGAACAAGAGUGAGCCGCUCACGUGGCCUGGCUUGAGUAGUGUCUAUUGCGCAGAGCUCUGAAGGAUGGCAAGGCACUGUGCAGGCGUGAGCAGAAUGGGAAUUCAGGAAGAGCCAAGAGCAUCAGCUGAGAGAGUGAGCAACAGCCAGUGAGACUAGAGCAGGGGUGAACGCGACGGUGGGGCUGGCACUGUGGCGCAGCUGGAAGCUGCCCCUGUGACACUAGCAUCCCAGAUCAGAGUACGGUUAGCAUCCCAGCUGCUCUCCUCUGGUUCCCUGCUUAUGCGCUUGGGAAAGCAGAGGAAGAUAAGUACCUGGGCCCCUGCCAUCCAUGUGGGAGACUGGGAUGGAGUUCCUGGCUCCUGGCUUUGGCCUGGGCCUGUGGCCAUCUGGUGAGUGAACCAGCAGAUGGAAGAUUCUUUUUCUCUCUCUUUCACUCUGCCUUUUAAAUAAAACAAAGAAGUACUUUUUAGAAAUGAGACCUGCUAGGCCGGUACCGCGCCUCACUAGGCUAAUCCUCCACCUUGCAGCGCCGGCACACUGGGUUCUCGUCCCGGUCAGGGUGCCGGAUUCUGUCCCGGUUGCCCCUCUUCCGGGCCAGCUCUCUGCUGUGGCCAGGGAGUGCAGUGGAGGAUGGCCCAAGUGCUUGGGCCCUGCACCCCAUGGGAGACCAGGAAAAGCACCUGGCUCCUGGCUCCUGCCAUCGGAUCAGCGCGUGCGCCGGCC